rnacentral:rRNA from 1 species
AGCUCAAAUUUAAAAUCUGGCAGCUUCGCUGUCCGAGUUGUAAAUUAGAGAAGUGUUGCCCGUGUUGGACCGUGUACAAGUCUCCUGGAAUGGAGCGUCAUAGAGGGUGAGAAUCCCGUCUUUGACACGGACCCCCCAAUACUUUGUGGUACACUCUCAAAGAGUCGUGUUGUUUGGGAAUGCAGCACUAAAUGGGUGGUAAAUUCCAUCUAAAGCUAAAUAUUGGCGAGAGACCGAUAGCGAACAAGUACCGUGAGGGAAAGAUGAAAAGAACUUUGGAAAGAGAGUUAAACAGUACGUGAAAUUGUUGAAAGGGAAACGCUUAAAGUCCAGUCGCGUUGGUUGGAAAUCAGUCUUGCUUGAUUGCUUGAUGUACUUUCUGACUGACGGGUCAACAUCAGUUUUGACCGGUGGAUAAAGGUUGAGGGAAUGUGGCACCUUCGGGUGUGUUAUAGCCCUUGAUUGUAUGCAUCGGUUGGGACUGAGGCUUCACGCCGCAAGGUGUUGGAUGUUGGCAUAAUGGCUUUAAUCGACCCGUCUUGGAGUCUAACAUGCUUGCGAGUAUUUGGGUGGAAAACCCAUAUGCGCAAUGAAAGUGAAAGUUGAGAACUCGUUAGAGUGCAUCGACGCCCAUACCUGACGUUUUACUGACGGAUAUGCGGUAGAGCAAGUAUGUUGGGACCCGAAAGAUGGUGAACUAUGCCUGAAUAGGGUGAAGCCAGAGGAAACUCUGGUGGAGGCUCGUAGCGAUUCUGACGUGCAAAUCGAUCGUCAAAUUUGGGUAUAGGGGCG